rnacentral:rRNA from 1 species
CCUACGGGGUGCAGCAGUGGGGAAUAUUGGGCAAUGGGCGCAAGCCUGACCCAGCAACGCCGCGUGAAGGAAGAAGGCUUUCGGGUUGUAAACUUCUUUUCUCAGGGACGAAGGAAGUGACGGUAGCUGAGGAAUAAGCCACGGCUAACUACGUGCCAGCAGCCGCGGUAAUACGUAGGUGGCAAGCGUUAUCCGGAUUGAAUGGGUGUAAAGGGGGUGUAGGCGGGGACGCAAGUCAGAUGUGAAAACCACGGGCUCAACCGGUGGACUGCGUUUGAUACUGUGUUUUUUGAGUACUGGGGGGGCGGACGGAAUUCCUAGUGUAGCGGUGGAAUGCGUAGAUAUUGGGAGGACCACCAGUGGCGAAGGCGGUCUGCUGG